rnacentral:lncRNA from 1 species
GUUCCAGAAUGUUGCUUUGCAAUAUUUCAACCUAUCCGAUCAUCGGGUCACCAUUGCUAGAUAGUUACAUCGAUUGGUAUAGAAAGUUAUUUCUAUAUUAUCGAUUUAGGUUCAAACCUAUGGGGUCACACGUAUUGGAAGAUUUGGUCAGAUCUGAUGGCUAAAGGGUCUAAUUAAAUUGUGACUCUGGUGAGGAGUCCCACUGGAACUGGGACUCAAGAGGAGAGUCCCACUGAAACUAAGAUUUUACUAUUAAUAGAAAAUUAAUUAGUAAUUAGAUUACUAAUUGACUCAAUUUGAUUAAGUGAAGAGCUUUGGAUUAAGUCUAAUUGAAUUAGAUUUAAUUCGACUCAGAUUGGGUUUGAUAUGA